rnacentral:rRNA from 1 species
UACAGAGGUCUCAAGCGUUGUUCGGAUUCAUUGGGCGUAAAGCGCGCGUAGGCGGCCAGAUAAGUCCGGUGUGAAAGUCACAGGCUCAACCUGUGAAUGCCGCUGGAAACUGCCUGGCUUGAGUCCGGAAGGGGCGAGUGGAAUUCCUGGUGUAGCGGUGAAAUGCGCAGAUAUCAGGAGGAACACCAAUGGCGAAGGCAGCUCGCUGGAACGGUACUGACGCUGAGGCGCGAAAGCGUGGGGAGCGAACAGG